rnacentral:rRNA from 1 species
UUGAUCCUGGCUCAGAAUCAACGCUGGCGGCGUGCCUAACACAUGCAAGUCGAACGCGAAAGGGGCUUCGGCCCUGAGUAGAGUGGCGAACGGGUGAGUUACACGUGGGUGAUCUACCUCUGAGUGGGGGAUAACCUUCCGAAAGGAGGUCUAAUACCGCAUGACGUUCUGGGUUUGAAGACCUGGAAACCAAAGUCGGUGACCGCAAGGCCUGACGCUUGGAGAGGAGCCCGCGUCUGAUUAGCUAGUUGGCGGGGUAACGGCCCACCAAGGCAACGAUCAGUAGCCGGCCUGAGAGGUCGGACGGCCACACUGGGACUGAGACACGGCCCAGACUCCUACGGGAGGCUGCAGUGGGGAAUUGUUCGCAAUGGGCGCAAGCCUGACGACGCAACGCCGUGUGGAGGAUGAAGGUCUUCGGAUUGUAAACUCCUGUUGAUCGGGAAGAAUGGGCUCCGGAUUAAUACACUGGAGCAGUGACGGUACCGAUUGAGGAAGCUACGGCUAACUCUGUGCCAGCAGCCGCGGUAAUAAGGU